CUAGUUUCUCAUUUUAAAAAAAAGUCCUUCCACUAUCCUUCCAAUGUGAAUAACGUUAUAUUUUUUGACAUUAUAUUCCAUGUGUCAUGCUUUUUUUUCCAUUCAUAACCUGUAUUAAUCCCUUUGUAGUCUCUUUGCAAUCUCCUCAUAGCUUACAUUCUCACUUAACUUUGUAUCACCAACAAACUUGGAUACAUUGGUCAUUGGUAUAUUUAAAUUGUUGUUGCCUGAACACUAAUCCUUGAGAUAUUCCUAUUUAUUACAUUUUACCAACUUGAAAAUGGUUUGUUUAUUCCUAUUCUGUUUCCUAUCUUUCAAUCAAUCUUCAAUCUAUGCUAAUAUAUUACCCAAACCCACUAGCCCUAAUUUUCUGUAAGGAAGUGUGUGCCUUUAACAACUUUUUGACUAAUUUUCUAUUAGAUCCAAUUGUUCAUGGUUAUCUACUCUACUGAUUGCAACCUCAAAGAUCUCAACAUAUUUGUCAAGCAUCGUUUCUCUUUCACAAAUCUGUGUUGACUCAGCCUAAUCACUUGCCCUGUUCCCAUGGUUUUGGAUCUUAUAGGGGCAUGAAUGACAUCGACUACGGUGAAAUUUGUGGUAGGACUGGAUGAGAAUCCAUGAAGAGAAUGCAGGGAGUUCUGGACAAACAAAGUGGUGGUGCAGUUGUCUUGUUUUUGGAGGGAGAGGCAAGCUGAAAUAGCCUCUCUGCCACAAAUUGAAAAAUCUGUCUCAAAAAGCAACCAUUUAUAUGGCAUAGUAACAGGAUGUUCAUGGUUAAGCAGAGAAAAGAAGUCCAGCCUAUAGUGCUUUUUUUAAAACGCAGAAGUCAGUGUCACAAAAAAAGACAGCCCAGCUACUGCGAGACUCUAUUGAAAUCCUUUCCAUGGUAGAAGUUCUUAGGAAUCUGAUGGAGUUUCCGAAUAAUGUUUCUGGUUUAAAAAUGAGAGGUGGACUGUGUCCAAUCUGCAAAGAUUUAAAUACAAGUUAACCACAAUGAAAACUCAACAUCUACCAUCAAUCAAUUAUUGUCAGUAAUUUGGCUUUGUCAACAGAAAAUUCAGUGGAUACAAGAAGACAUUACAUUUCAUUUCCAAGUCCUUAGGCCACAGAAUUUAUUUUUACCCCUUUAAAAAAGUUUCACAGCAGCUCUGUUGAGACAUGUCUUUUUGUUUUGU